GACGAACCGUGCGACCGUUGUUCGGAAUCACUGGGCUUAAAGGGCGCGUAGGCGGUCUGACAAGUCUGGGGUGAAAUGCCGCGGCUCAACCGUGGAACUGCCUUAGAUACUGUCGGCCUCGAGGAAGGUAGGGGCAUGCGGAACUGUAGGUGGAGCGGUGAAAUGCGUUGAUAUCUACAGGAACUCCGGUGGCGAAAGCGGCGUGCUGGACCUUUUCUGACGCUGAGGCGCGAAAGCUAGGGGAGCAAACGGG
rnacentral:rRNA from 1 species